rnacentral:tRNA from 1 species
GUUCAUUUAGUUUAAUUUAAAAUUUUGGUUUGUGGUACCAGGGAUCUUUUUAAGGUUGAGCU